GGGGGCGACCUGGCUUCGACGUGGGUUGCAAAGCAGGCAAGUGCAUACCGAGGACCAGUUCCCUCGUAAAUCUACUGGAAAUUUAUAGUCGCCAACGACGAAACUUACGCUCUAGCCGCUUGACGGCUAGACUCCGCACCGGCAGGCCCGUGGGCCGGGCUGGGCAACCAGCGGCGGAGUCAUUUACACGGGAUCGCGCUGAAUCGGGCCACUUGGCUCAGCGUUAAAUCUAGGUGGCUCGCCCAAUUCAAGCCUGUUCGGCCGGCGUGAGGCGGGUUAAAUACAAACGACCGGACUAAGUAUGUAGAUCUUCUUGUAGAGGGCUUGCGGACGCGGGUUCGAUUCCCGCCGCCUCCACCA
rnacentral:tmRNA from 1 species